GCGGCACGCCUUAUACAUGCAAGUCGAACGAAGUAGUAAUACUUAGUGGCAGACGGGUGAGUAACAUGUAGGUAUCUUCCCUUUGGUGAGGAAUAACACGAGGAAACUUGUGCUAAUACCUCAUAAGUCUUUACGGAGAAAGCUUUAUGCGCCAUAGGAUGAGCCUGCAUUUGAUUAGUUUGUUGGUGGGGUAAUGGCCUACCAAGACUUUGAUCAAUAGCUGAUCUGAGAGGAUGAUCAGCCACAUUGGGACUGAGACACGGCCCAAACUCCUACGGGAGGCAGCAGUAGGGAAUAUUGCACAAUGGAGGAAACUCUGAUGCAGCGAUGCCGCGUGAGUGAAGAAGGCCUUUGGGUUGUAAAGCUCUUUCGUCGGGGAAGAAAAUGACUGUACCCGAAUAAGAAGGUCCGGCUAACUUCGUGCCAGCAGCCGCGGUAAUACGAAGGGACCUAGCGUAGUUCGGAAUUACUGGGCUUAAAGAGUUCGUAGGUGGUUAAAAAAGUUGGUGGUGAAAUCCCAGAGCUUAACUCUGGAACUGCCAUCAAAACUUUUUAGCUAGAGUAUGAUAGAGGAAAGCAGAAUUUCUAGUGUAGAGGUGAAAUUCGUAGAUAUUAGAAAGAAUACCAAUUGCGAAGGCAGCUUUCUGGAUCAUUACUGACACUGAGGAACGAAAGCAUGGGUAGCGAAGAGGAUUAGAUACCCUCGUAGUCCAUGCCGUAAACGAUGUGUGUUAGACGUUGGAAAUUUAUUUUCAGUGUCGCAGCGAAAGCAUUAAACACACCGCCUGGGGAGUACGACC
rnacentral:rRNA from 1 species